AGUGAACGCUGGCGGUAGGCCUAACACAUGCAAGUCGAACGGCAGCACAGUAAGAGCUUGCUCUUACGGGUGGCGAGUGGCGGACGGGUGAGGAAUACAUCGGAAUCUACUUUUUCGUGGGGGAUAACGUAGGGAAACUUACGCUAAUACCGCAUACGACCUACGGGUGAAAGCAGGGGAUCUUCGGACCUUGCGCGAUUGAAUGAGCCGAUGUCGGAUUAGCUAGUUGGCGGGGUAAAGGCCCACCAAGGCGACGAUCCGUAGCUGGUCUGAGAGGAUGAUCAGCCACACUGGAACUGAGCCACGGUCAAGACUCCUACGGGAGGCAGCAGUGGGGAAUAUUGGACAAUGGGCGCAAGCCUGAUCCAGCCAGACCGCGUGGGUGAAGAAGGCCUUCGGGUUGUAAAGCCCUUUUGUUGGGAAAGAAAAGCAGCAGGUUAAUACCCCGCGGUUCUGACGGUACCCAAAGAAUAAGCACCGGCUAACUUCGUG
rnacentral:rRNA from 1 species